UGACUUUAUAGGAUUCUAUGUACAGUUAAA
rnacentral:piRNA from 1 species